CGGACGGGUGAGUAAUGUCUGGGAAACUGCCCGAUGGAGGGGGAUAACUACUGGAAACGGUAGCAAUACCGCAUAACGUCGCAAGACCAAAGAGGGGGACCUUCGGGCCUCUUGCCAUCGGAUGUGCCCAGAUGGGAUUAGCUAGUAGGUGGGGUAACGGCUCACCUAGGCGACGAUCCCUAGCUGGUCUGAGAGGAUGACCAGCCACACUGGAACUGAGACACGGUCCAG
rnacentral:rRNA from 1 species